GACGAACGCUGGCAGCGUGCCUAAUACAUGCAAGUCGAGCGGACUUAAAAAGCUUGCUUUUUAAGUUAGCGGCGGACGGGUGAGUAACACGUGGGCAACCUGCCUGUAAGACUGGGAUAACUUCGGGAAACCGGAGCUAAUACCGGAUAAUCCUUUUCUACUCAUGUAGAAAAGCUGAAAGACGGUUUACGCUGUCACUUACAGAUGGGCCCGCGGCGCAUUAGCUAGUUGGUGAGGUAACGGCUCACCAAGGCGACGAUGCGUAGCCGACCUGAGAGGGUGAUCGGCCACACUGGGACUGAGACACGGCCCAGACUCCUACGGGAGGCAGCAGUAGGGAAUCUUCCGCAAUGGACGAAAGUCUGACGGAGCAACGCCGCGUGAGUGAUGAAGGUUUUCGGAUCGUAAAACUCUGUUGUUAGGGAAGAACAAGUACGAGAGUAACUGCUCGUACCUUGACGGUACCUAACCAGAAAGCCACGGCUAACUACGUG
rnacentral:rRNA from 1 species